rnacentral:snRNA from 1 species
GUACACACUUCAGCAGCACAUAUACUAAAAUUGGAAAGAUACAGAAAAGAUUAAUCUGGCCCCUGUGCAAGAAUGUGCAAGUGUUCUGUGUUUGUUUUUU